AAAGUUAGUCCAACCAAGACA
rnacentral:tRNA from 3 species